rnacentral:rRNA from 1 species
CCUACGGGCGGCAGCAGUGGGGAAUAUUGGACAAUGGGGGCAACCCUGAUCCAGCCAUGCCGCGUGUGUGAAGAAGGCCCUCGGGUUGUAAAGCACUUUCAGUGAGGAAGAACGCCUGGUGGUUAAUACCCAUCAGGAAAGACAUCACUCACAGAAGAAGCACCGGCUAACUCCGUGCCAGCAGCCGCGGUAAUACGGAGGGUGCGAGCGUUAAUCGGAAUUACUGGGCGUAAAGCGCGCGUAGGUGGCUUGAUAAGCCGGUUGUGAAAGCCCCGGGCUCAACCUGGGAACGGCAUCCGGAACUGUCGAGCUAGAGUGCAGGAGAGGAAGGUAGAAUUCCCGGUGUAGCGGUGAAAUGCGUAGAGGUCGGGAGGAAUACCAGUGGCGAAGGCGGCCUUCUGGACUGACACUGACACUGAGGUGCGAAAGCGUGGGUAGCAAACAGGAUUGGAUACCCCAGUAGUC